rnacentral:rRNA from 1 species
ACGCUCGACACCUACGAGGCAGCAGUGGGGAAUAUUGCACAAUGGGGGAAACCCUGAUGCAGCGACGCCGCGUGAGCGAAGAAGUAUUUCGGUAUGUAAAGCUCUAUCAGCAGGGAAGAAGAAAGACGGUACCUGACUAAGAAGCCCCGGCUAACUACGUGCCAGCAGCCGCGGUAAUCUGAGCGGGCUGGCAAGGC